rnacentral:rRNA from 1 species
CGGAGGAUCCAAGCGUUAUCCGGAAUCAUUGGGUUUAAAGGGUCCGUAGGCGGGUUUAUAAGUCAGUGGUGAAAGCCCAUCGCUCAACGAUGGAACGGCCAUUGAUACUGUAGAUCUUGGAUUAUUAGGAAGUAACUAGAAUAUGUAGUGUAGCGGUGAAAUGCUUAGAGAUUACAUGGAAUACCAAUUGCGAAGGCAGGUUACUACUAAUGGAUUGACGCUGAUGGACGAAAGCGUGGGUAGCGAACAGGAUUAGAUACCCUGGCAGUCCACGCCGUAAACGAUGGAUACUAGCUGUUCGGAGCAAUCUGAGUGGCUAAGCGAAAGUGAUAAGUAUCCCACCUGGGGAGUACGUUCGCAAGAAUG